rnacentral:sRNA from 1 species
UUUAUUUCCGUAAGACACUGGCCUGAGUGCACACUGUAAACCUGGUGUUGCUUUUCUAAACUUGUUGCGCACAUUCAAGGCAGCUCGUGUGAUGUGCUUGUAAUUUUCAAUUUGACUAAUUCAAAAUCCAGAGUUGCAGGACGUGUUUUUAAAAAAAUAAAACAGCUGUUUUAUUUUAGCUCAAGCAGUUGUCUCUCUUGCUCUCUGGUCAAAUUUGGCUCGAGGAAUGGUUAUCGUUUGGCACAACAGUUGCCUCUGUGGGCACCCUUAAUCCAGUCGCAGGCAGCAGACCGGGUUCUGGAGCGAAAACAGUCUCCAAUAAUCUGAAUCUGUUCUUUCAUUUUCUGCCCCAGAAUCGAAGAGACGUGGCGAUUGUGGCAGAAAUUUCUGGAUGACUAUUCACGUUUUGAAGAUUGGCUGAAGUCUUCAGAAAGGACAGCUGCUUUUCCCAGCUCUUCUGGGGUGAUCUAUACAGUUGCCAAGGAAGAACUAAAGAAAUUUGAGGCUUUCCAGCGACAGGUCCACGAGUGCCUGACGCAGCUGGAACUGAUCAACAAGCAGUACCGCCGCCUGGCCAGGGA